UUGUAAGGUACUCUACACCUUUUACCAAGCCGUCUAAAAGCCGCCACCAUAAUAGCGAACCGUCCAAAAGGCGUCUUUUUUAUAGGGCCGUCCAAAUUUGAAAAUAGCCGUCCAAAAGACGGCUGGACGGUAGGCUGGCUAAGACCCUGUUUCAAUGUCAAAUCCCUGGUCAUAUAUGUUCUUGACACGCAUUUUUAACCGUAGAGAUUUUUAAAUUAAGAUUCCUUAAGAUUGAUGUAUAAAUUUACAAAAUAUUCUGCGUUAGUUGAUUUGGACAAUUUAAUUUUAUUAUCAUUAAGCCAAAUAAAAAAUACCUGGGUUUCCUAUUUCUUGUUGCAAAAACUUGGUUGGGUAGUUCGGGUUUUCUUUAAUUUUGUAAAUAUUUUUUUACACAUGGCACAAACAUUCGUUAAAUGUUAUGUCAACUUUGAAACGCGGGUUAUACUUAAUAUAGCUAGUACAAAAUCAUCCUCGUUCGUCGCACGGCCGCGCGCGACCCUUCACGCGCCCUGGGAUACACGGAACCGGAAGUUGAAGAAAACUUGUAGUAGUUUCUAAAGCGCAUAGCGCAUAUUUGAUGUACAUACUCUUAAUUUCCAGAGAAGUUUUACGAAGAAACGAAGUAUUUGUGUGCUGACAUAUUUUGAUAGACUAAUUUUGCCUUGCGAAAACUGCUCAACUUCUGCGAAAUAGCAGUUCUCUGAGAAGCCAAUCAGAACUAUCUCUUUAGUCGUCUAACCCAGAGCCUAAUUUUCAACGAGUGACCGAGUAAAAAUGGCUCUGGGGACGAGAAUGGUACAACUAAAGCCAGGAACUGGGUACAAAAAAUUGCCCCAAGCUCUUUGCAAAUUUCAGAUAAAAAGAUCAAUGUAGGUAAUGUCAGUGGCCAAAAGCUAAAUAGGAUUGGGAAACCGGAGACCCAGGUAUUUUUGGCCUUACCAUUCGAUACCACUCCUCUUUUAGAUUUCCGAGUGCCAAAUCUAGACUUCAACCAUCUUCGUUCACAGGGAUUCUCGGGUUCGCACUUCAACCUUGAGUUAAAUCGAAGCGUGCAUCCACUUGAUCUAUAAUCAUUUCCGCAAUAGGGAGUGAAGAGGUGGCUGCAGGCGAUGGAGCAUUUCUUACAUGAAGUAACCGCUUGCUAAGUUCUCCUUCUCCUUGAUCUAAUAUAAAGUCUUCCACCAAAUUACCAUCUGCGUCUAAGGCCUGAGCUCUUACUCCAGUUGGUCCUCUGGUAA